rnacentral:rRNA from 1 species
UACGGGGGGGGGCAAGCGUUGUUCGGAAUUACUGGGCGUAAAGGGCUCGUAGGCGGCCAACUAAGUCAGACGUGAAAUCCCUCGGCUUAACCGGGGAACUGCGUCUGAUACUGGAUGGCUUGAAUCCGGGAGAGGGAUGCGGAAUUCCAGGUGUAGCGGUGAAAUGCGUAGAUAUCUGGAGGAACACCGGUGGCGAAGGCGGCAUCCUGGACCGGCAUUGACGCUGAGGAGCGAAAGCGUGGGGAGCAAACAGG